UUAGGGUUUUCGACCGGAGAGGGAGCCUGAGAAACGGCUACCACAUCCAAGGAAGGCAGCAGGCGCGCAAAUUACCCAAUCCCGACACGGGGAGGUAGUGACAAUAAAUACUGAUACGGGGCUCUUUUGGGUCUCGUAAUUGGAAUGAGUACAAUCUAAAUCCCUUAACGAGGAACAAUUGGAGGGCAAGUCUGGUGCCAGCAGCCGCGGUAAUUCCAGCUCCAAUAGCGUAUAUUAAAGUUGUUGCAGUUAAAAAGCUCGUAGUUGAACCUUGGGUCUGGCUGGCCGGUCCGCCUCACCGCGAGUACUGGUCCGGCUGGACCUUUCCUUCUGGGGAAUCUCAUGGCCUUCACUGGCUGUGGGGGGAACCAGGACUUUUACUGUGAAAAAAUUAGAGUGUUCAAAGCAGGCCUUUGCUCGAAUACAUUAGCAUGGAAUAAUAGAAUAGGACGUGCGGUUCUAUUUUGUUGGUUUCUAGGACCGCCGUAAUGAUUAAUAGGGAUAGUCGGGGGCGUCAGUAUUCAGCUGUCAGAGGUGAUAUUCUGGAUGACACCGCCC
rnacentral:rRNA from 1 species